rnacentral:rRNA from 1 species
AGAGUUUGAUCAUGGCUCAGGACGAACGCUGGCGGCGUGCUUAACACAUGCAAGUCGAACGAGGUCCACCAGCAAUGGGAAGACCGAGUGGCGAACGGGUGAGUAACACGUGAGCAACCUGCCCCGAAGACCGGGAUAACAGCGGGAAACCGCUGCUAAUACCGGAUGCCCCCACCGGGCCGCAUGACCUGGUGAGGAAAUGGAUUCCGCUUCGGGAGGGACUCGCGGCCUAUCAGCUUGUUGGUGGGGUAACGGCCUACCAAGGCUUCGACGGGUAGCUGGUCUGAGAGGACGAUCAGCCACACUGGGACUGAGACACGGCCCAGACUCCUACGGGAGGCAGCAGUGGGAAUCUUGCGCAAUGGGCGAAAGCCUGACGCAGCAACGCCGCGUGAGGGACGAAGGCCUUCGGGUUGUAAACCUCUUUCAGCAGGGACGAUUGUGACGGUACCUGCAGAAGAAGCCCCGGCCAACUACGUGCCAGCAGCCGCGGUAAUACGUAGGGGGCGAGCGUUGUCCGGAUUCAUUGGGCGUAAAGAGCUCGUAGGCGGCUUGGUAAGUCGGGUGUGAAACCUCCAGGCUCAACCUGGAGACGCCACUCGAUACUGCCAUGGCUAGAGUCCGGUAGGGGCCCACGGAAUUCCUGGUGUAGCGGUGAAAUGCGCAGAUAUCAGGAGGAACACCGGUGGCGAAGGCGGUGGGCUGGGCCGGAACUGACGCUGAGGAGCGAAAGCGUGGGGAGCGAACAGGAUUAGAUACCCUGGUAGUCCACGCCGUAAACGUUGGGCACUAGGUGUGGGGGAUUAUCAACGUCCUCCGUGC